ensembl:lncRNA
GCUGAAUGAUUGAUAGUGUUUCUCUACCCUCUAGUGGACUGAUGCAGAACUGAAAAGGUCAACACGAGAAUCUUCAAGGACAAUUGCCUGGGAAUCCUGAGGUCUGGACAGCAACACCUGAAUCUGAAUCUCUUUUGGGUUGAAUCAUAAAAGAAAAUAGUAUGGAGAGAUUUAAGGCCAGGCCUCUGGAGAAGGAAUUGAUGAAAUAUGUGGUAGUAGGUGCACUACAGAACAGAAUUCACUUGGAAGUUCUUGGC